AAUACUUUGAAUACUUUUGAAUGUGCUGGAAAAUUAAUCUUAACAAUUUUUUUUUAUUUUAGUACUAGAAAAAAGGAUGCUGUAAAUAACUCAAGCCAGCACGGGUCUUGCGAAAAACAUGCUAUCCAGUGUUUCGUGCUUAUUAUAAAUCUGUGUAAACUCUUUAGUUUAUGAUGUUUAAAUUUAUAGACUAUUGUGAUAGUCCAUCGCUUCGACAAUAUCCCAAUUUCGAGUAGAUGAAUUGAAUGCGACCCUUUGGAAUAUUGGAAGCAACAUUUAUCUGAGUUGCGUCCACUGUUCCAAAUUGCCCGAAGACUGCUCAGUGCCCGCCACAUCAACUGAAUCCGAAAGGAAAGCGCGUCUCCGAUCGGCGAGCAGCGCUUAAGCCUUAAGCCUUAAGAUCUACUUUCUAAAUAAAUAAAUAUUUGUUAUUUUUGAAAAUUA